AUGCUCGUUUUGGUAGCACAUAUACUAAAAUUGGAACGAUACAGAGAUUAGCAUGGCCCCUGAGCAAAGAUGACAUGCAAAUUUGUGAAGUGUUCCAUAUUUUU
ensembl:snRNA U6 U6 spliceosomal RNA